UACGGAGGGUGCGAGCGUUGUCCGGAAUCACUGGGCGUAAAGGGCGCGUAGGCGGCUCAUGAAGGCUGUGGUGAAAGUCCGGGGCUCAACCUCGGAUCGGCCGUGGCGACUCGUGGGCUGGAGCACUGUAGAGGCGGGUGGAAUUCCGGGUGUAGCGGUGGAAUGCGUAGAGAUCCGGAAGAACACCAGUGGCGAAGGCGGCCCGCUGGGCAGUGGCUGACGCUGAAGCGCGACAGCGUGGGGGAGCAAACAGGG
rnacentral:rRNA from 1 species